CUUCCAGUAGCACCUUAGAGACCAACUAAGUUUGUUAUUGGUAUGCGCUUUCGUGUGCAUGCACACUUCUUCAGCUCAUACCAAUAACAAACUUAGUUGGUCUCUAAGGUGCUACUGGAAG